GUGCUCAUUUUGGCAGAACAUCUACUAAAGUUGGAAUGAUACAGAGAUUAGCAUGGCCUCUGCACAAGGAUGACAUGCAAAUUCAUGAAGCGUUCCAUGUUUUU
ensembl:snRNA U6 U6 spliceosomal RNA